CCUGGUGAGGUUCAGAGAAGGCUUCUCCGUGGUGGAACGCAGCAGCGAUAUCCUGGAGGAUCCAACAUGCCUGCGUGGGUCAGUAACGCAGACAUGGCACGUAACCAGAGUUAUCCCAGCGUCUUGUCAUCAGAGCCAUCCUGGCCCCUGUCUGAGUGAUGCUCUAGCAGCGGGCAUGGGAACCAAUAUGGAAGAAAGGAAUCUGGUCACCCACAUCCGUGGCUGGCACGUUCAUCGAAUGUCCCGAAGAAUCUCUCCAACACUCGAGCCAACAUGCCAGCACCAGCUGCAAAAGACACCUAUUCGGGGCCCCCGCUCAAGUCCCCAAGAGUUGGGGCUGGCACCGAACUCCCAAGUUAGGUUCCUCCAGGACUGAUGCGUCCUUUCCGGUCACACGGAGGGCAAUUAUUCUUCCAGAAGAAUCACCGAGAGAGGAUAUCUAUCAUGGUGAAGCUCACAGAUUUUGGGGUUCCAUCUGGCACAAUACUCCCUUGCCUCGGGCCUUGGGCAAGUCAUCCAACACUGAGCCUCGGGGUCCUGAAGCAUAAGGCGGGGGCCACCUACCACACAUGACAUUGAUUAUAUAACGUGUCUAAAGCAUCCGGGGUGUGUGUUUGUUACGACCGCUGCCCACGGACAUCUGGGGACGUGUAGACCAGCCAUGCCUGCGGCGCCAGCGCACCUUGCUCUGGUACCAUACUCACAGUGCCCCUCGCCCGCAUCCGGAACAUGGGGAAGCAAUGGCACCAUGGCCACAGGGUGGUGUCGGGGGACUAUCACCAGUAAACGUUGGGGACAAGCCUCCAAGUGAGGUACGGUGUAUGGUGGGGAUCCUCACAGCAGCCCCCCAUUCCCGGGACCAUAUUCUCUGUGCUUCUCCUGCCACAAGGAUGGUCCGACCUGUUACGGCACCUGCUGCUCUCUCCUAGCGGAAGAUGACACUCAGAACAAUAGCCCAGGAAGGCAGCUGACAGUGUCCAAGGAAUGUACUUCUCCACAUCUUGUGUGGGACAGAGCAGACUGUCCCCACCCCCACCCUGUUAGGUCGAUCGGUCGUUUGAAAGGCCAUGGGGGGCUGCCUGCAAGAGUGAGCUUAGAGCUGGGCCCUUCCUCGCCAGCUCAGAGACAGAUGGAGAAGGAAGGGACUUCGCUUUGGUGGACAGUCGCCCAUCCCUCCUCCAGGGUUUCAGUUACUCGCGGCCGACCGCGGCCUCGGAACACGUCCCCGUGGAUAAAGGGGGGACACUGAACACCAAAGAAAGAAAGAGGGAGCAGUGCCCCGUGACACUGAGAUCUCUCCUCAUGGGAAAACAGCUCCCGUGUCCUUCACGUGACGUUUACUUUUAUUCCCAAGCUUUCACAAGAAGACUUAGAAAUACUUAGAACAUUGACUACUUAUGCAGCCCUCUGCUCCCCCCUACUUGCGACGUGCGUGUGUGUCCAUUUCCACGUGCUAGCAGAGAGUUCAAGUUCAGUAUCCAUCAGGGGCUGGCAGGCACCCUGUGAAUCGCCCCUCCGUGGGCACGUCUGGUUGGGCAGUUGAGGCCGUUCCAAUUUUUUGGCUGCUAUGAACAGGACCACAAGAAACACCCUCGGGCACGCUGCUUAAAAAAAAAAAAAAAAAAAAAAAAAAAAUUCCUUCACAUAUCUCGUUAGAACGUAGCGGAUUGCCUCCCCCUGUUGUGUUGGGGUCAGGGAAGAGAUGAGUCACUUGGGUCACCGUGAACAAAGCCGUCCAGUCGGAAUAUGCCUGGUAGCAGACGCAGAGGCAGCUGGCUGGUCCCAGAGGGCACAGGCCUGCUCUUGACCCACCCCACCCGUUCUUCUUGGCCCUCCUUCCUGCCGGCUGGCACCUGCCCUCUCGUG